rnacentral:rRNA from 1 species
GACGAACGCUGGCGGCGUACCUAAUACAUGCAAGUAGAACGCUGAAGGAGGAGCUUGCUUCUCUGGAUGAGUUGCGAACGGGUGAGUAACGCGUAGGUAACCUGCCUGGUAGCGGGGGAUAACUAUUGGAAACGAUAGCUAAUACCGCAUAAUAGUAGAUGUUGCAUGACAUUUGCUUAAAAGGUGCAAUUGCAUCACUACCAGAUGGACCUGCGUUGUAUUAGCUAGUUGGUGGGGUAACGGCUCACCAAGGCGACGAUACAUAGCCGACCUGAGAGGGUGAUCGGCCACACUGGGACUGAGACACGGCCCAGACUCCUACGGGAGGCAGCAGUAGGGAAUCUUCGGCAAUGGACGGAAGUCUGACCGAGCAACGCCGCGUGAGUGAAGAAGGGUGUCGGAUCGUAAAGCUCUGUUGUAAGAGAAGAACGAGUGUGAGAGUGGAAAGUUCACACUGUGACGGUAUCUUACCAGAAAGGGGCGGCUAACUACGUG